rnacentral:rRNA from 1 species
AGUGAACGCUGGCGGUAGGCCUAACACAUGCAAGUCGAACGGCAGCACAGGAGAGCUUGCUCUCUGGGUGGCGAGUGGCGGACGGGUGAGGAAUACAUCGGAAUCUACUCUGUCGUGGGGGAUAACGUAGGGAAACUUACGCUAAUACCGCAUACGACCUACGUGUGAAAGCAGGGGACCUUCGGGCCUUGCGCGAUUGAAUGAGCCGAUGUCGGAUUAGCUAGUUGGCGGGGUAACGGCCCACCAAGGCGACGAACCGUAGCUGGUCUGAGAGGAUGAUCAGCGACGCUGGAACUGAGACACGGUCCAGACUCCUACGGGAGGCAGCAGUGGGGAAUAUUGGACAAUGGGCGAAAGCCUGAUCCAGCCAUACCGCGUGGGGGAAGAAGGCCUUCGGGUUGUAAAGCCCUUUUGUUGGGAAAGAAAUCCAGCUGGCUAAUACCCGGUUGGGAUGACGGUACCCAAAGAAUAAGCACCGGCUAACUUCGUGCCAGCCGCCGCCGUAA